rnacentral:ncRNA from 2 species
UGAUUUCUGCCGGGGUGCCCCACCGAUGAGGGCUGAGAUCACACCCGCAACACCUGAUCUAGGUAGUGCUAGCGAAGGGAGCCCACAUGCAAGCCGU